GCGUCUCUGUAUAUGUUACCGAGAUCUCUGAAUUCUAAUAUUGUGUGGGAUUUAAAUCUGGUUACUGUUAUCAUUCAGGGUGCUGGGGGAAACAAAAUACCUUUUUUUCUUGCUUAGAAAUACCCCUCCCUUUCAAGCACCUGAAUAUCAUUAAGCUAAUUGAGCAUCUGCUACUAUAUAGGUCAGCACAUGGUACUGGAAAGCACUUGAAGACAAUUUAUGUUGAAGUUCACUGGAGACAACCGGUAGGACAUGGUACUGGAAAGCACUUGAAGAAAAUCGAUGUUUAAUCAAUGCUAGAGAUCACUGAAGAUAACCGAUAGCAUUCGGUACUGGGGAACACUCGUAUAAAUCAAUGUUAUUUGAUGCUGGAGAUCACUGGAGAUAACCAAUCGGUACUGGUGAAUACUUGAAGACACUGGAGAACACUAGAAGAUAAUCGAUGGUAGCUUGUCAUUGGUGGAGGGAAUCAGCUGACACACACCAGGAAUCCCAUUGGAGGACAGUCCAGUCAGCUGACAAAACAACAUGGCUGCUGGGAACUUCAUGUUGACACAAUGAACAGAGAGACCAGAUGCUGUAUACUGGAUCCUGCCGAUUAGGAAUUCCUACACAGGUGGCUUAAUCAAGAGUGAGUAACACAGACUGCAGUUUGUAACACAAACACAUGCUGUAGCUUGGAAGCUGAAGUCUGCAUGAAGCUUUGCACAUCCUAAAACCCCUGCAAAACAGGAGAAGCAAAUUGAUCUGCACACAAGGAAAAUACACCAAACCAGUGGAAACCAUCCAUCUGACAUGCGCAUAAGCUAAAGGGGGAAUGCCCCACUUCCGCCUGAAAAAACAGGAAGUUUUUCGGAAGCGGCCACUAUCAAUAUCCCACCAGAAACAUAGAAAUAUAUAGAAAUCAAGUUUUAAUCAAUAACCUGCACACCUGGACUUAUAGAGCCACAAACAGGGCUCACACACUGCAGCAUGGCUUUUCUAAUAAACAUAUAACAUCUGGCUGCGGCACACGAACUUCCGGUCAGACUUCAUCGUGACCACGCCCACUUUCGGUCCCAGUUACACGAGGAGGAGAUUGCCAGCACUAGAAGUAUUUGGAGCAGCAAUGCACACAGCUUUGAGGAAGACCUUGAAAAGUGUCAGCUUACUGUGCAUACUGCCAUAUAAUCUAAGGACUGAGAAACACCUACCUGUGGUAGUGCCUGGGAAAGUUUUAUUGCACAAUCUUUUGUUUUAUGCAAUUUUCGAUUGUAAAACAGCUGCCAGUGUUUAGUGUACCACCCCAUGUAAUUCUCUCUUGAUGAAUACUUGCCAGUAUUCCCAUCCUAAAUCACAUGUUAAUGCUAAUUAUAUUUGUAUAUACAGUCUUUUUAUGUUACUGUUCUAAUUUAUUUUUACUUAAAAUAAAUAGUGUUUUAUUGCAAUUUGCUCACUGUUUUAAACCAUAAGCGCUGAGGGUCAUAAGCCAUAAUUCCUAUCGCCAGAUAUCCGAAAAGUGUGUGAUUGAUACACCCAAGUUUUUUGGUCCUAGCUUGGUCUGCACCAGAAAGUGGCAUACAUCCAUUAACUUAGUGUCAAUCACUGACCAUCCUAUGCCGUUCCUGCAUCCUGUGUCGCAGAAUCCAUUUGUGCAUGCACACAUCCGUACUUUGUGCAUCAGGGCGCAAGUAGAACUGGACCUGAAUAAGGUCCAAUGUACAUAAAAGGUUUUAGCAGUAUGUUACAUGGGGACGUCAACACAGCCUUCUAAGAGUCACUUUAAGAACUGCAAGUAUUUCCCCUAAACUCCACAGAGGUCUCACUUUUAUUCCCAGGGUUGGCACUUAAGUGGCAUCUCCUACCACGUCCUGGAACACUAUGGUGCAGCCUGAAAGGUAAAUCAGAUGCGGUCUCUCACUGACCAAUGAAUUGUUUCUUACAGAGAGACAGGUUUUCACUUUUCUUUUUAUAGAGUACAUUUUUUCCAGUAAGAAGUAUUGCCAUAAUCAAUGCGGGAGAUAAGAAGAGCAUGGAUUAGAUUUUUUGCAGUGUAUUGUGUAAGGUAUGGUCAUAUUUUGGAUAUGUUUUUAGAUGCAUGUAGCAAAAAAACAAUA